rnacentral:rRNA from 1 species
GUGGGGAAUAUUGGACAAUGGGCGAAAGCCUGAUCCAGCCAUGCCGCGUGUGUGAAGAAGGUCUUCGGAUUGUAAAGCACUUUAAGUUGGGAGGAAGGGCAGUAAGUUAAUACCUUGCUGUUUUGACGUUACCAACAGAAUAAGCACCGGCUAACUUCGUGCCAGCAGCCGCGGUAAUACGAAGGGUGCAAGCGUUAAUCGGAAUUACUGGGCGUAAAGCGCGCGUAGGUGGUUCAGCAAGUUGGAGGUGAAAUCCCCGGGCUCAACCUGGGAACUGCCUCCAAAACUACUGGGCUAGAGUACGGUAGAGGGUAGUGGAAUUUCCUGUGUAGCGGUGAAAUGCGUAGAUAUAGGAAGGAACACCAGUGGCGAAGGCGACUACCUGGACUGAUACUGACACUGAGGUGCGAAAGCGUGGGGAGCAAACAGGAUUAGAUACCCGAGUAGUCC